UCCUACGGGACGCAGCAGUGGGGAAUAUUGCACAAUGGGGGGAACCCUGAUGCAGCAACGCCGCGUGAAGGAAGAAGUAAUUCGUUAUGUAAACUUCUAUCAACGGGGAAGAAAGAGAUGACGGUACCCGAGUAAGAAGCCCCGGCUAAUUACGUGCCAGCAGCCGCGGUAAUACGUAAGGGGCGAGCGUUAUCCGGAUUUACUGGGUGUAAAGGGAGCGUAGACGGCAGUGCAAGUCUGAAGUGAAAGGCGGGGGCCCAACCCCCGGACUGCUUUGGAAACUGUGCUGCUGGAGUGCAGGAGAG
rnacentral:rRNA from 1 species